UACGAAGAGGGCGAGUGUUAUUCAUAGUGAUUGGGCGUAAAGGGUACGUAGACGGUGUUUCAAGUUCCCCUUGUAAAGACCAUGGCACAACUGUGGUAACGGGGGAAUACUGUUAUUGCUUGAGUCUUGCAGAGGUUUUUAAAAAAAAGCGGUAUUUUUAAGGUAAAAGUAACAAUUAUCGAUCUUAAGGAGACCCCCCAACGGCGAAAGCAGCUGACCAGGUAAGACUGACGUUAAUGUACGGAGGCAUGGGGAUCAAACAGG
rnacentral:rRNA from 1 species